rnacentral:Y_RNA from 1 species
GGCUGGUCCUAAGGUAGUGGGUUAUCCCAAUUGAUUGUUCACAGUCAGUUACAGAUUAAACUCCUUGUUCUUGUUUCCCCCCUUCCCACUACUGUGUUUUCCUAGUUAAA